rnacentral:rRNA from 1 species
AUUGAACGCUGGCGGCAGGCCUAACACAUGCAAGUCGAGCGGAGCGGCGGACGGGGGAGUGAUGCCGAGGGAUCUGCCUGGGAGUGGGGGAUAACUUCCGGGAACGGGCGCUAAUACCACAUACUAGCAGAGGAGCCUAGGUCGGAUUAGCUAGUUGGAGGGGUAAAGGCUUACCAAGGCGACGAUCCGUAACUGGCCUGAGAGGAUGAUCAGUCACACUGGAACUGAGACACGGCCCAGACUCCUACGGGAGGCAGCAGUGGGGAAUAUUGGACAAUGGGCGAAAGCCUGAUCCAGCCACGCCGCGUGUGUGAAGAAGGUUUUCGGAUUGUAAAGCACUUUAAUUUGAGAGGCGUUAUCAACAGAAAAAGCACCGGCUAACUUCGUGCCAGCAGCCGCGGUAAUAC